AUUCCUCGGCUGCAUCACUUCAAUCUCUGUCUUUCUCUUCACCUGACAGUAUCCCCAGGUGCAUAUCUGUGUCCAAAUUCACCCCACAUCUCCAUUUAUAAUGCAUCUUCACUUGGAACCUUCAUGGAACCAAAUUAGAGAGUUCUGUAUAGGGUCAUAGAUGUAAGAGCACUUUAAAAGGCUUUCAUGGAAAACUUGAAGAUUGACUAUGCCGUAAAGAAAAGACUCAAUCAGGCACAUACUGUAUGUUUUGCAAUAGUAACAAAGGUCAUGGUACCAUUAUAUUAAAACUUAGUUUGUUAUAAUCAUUUUUGUGUCAUCAAAAAAUGUUUUGGGGGGGCCAGCCACAGUGACUCACACAUAUAUUCCCAGCACUUUGGGAGGCCAACAUGGGAGGACUGUUUGAGCCCAGGUGUUCAAGAUGAGCCUGGGCAACAUAGGGAGACCCUGAAAGAAAAAUGUAAAUGUAGACCUUUAGCUCCUUACCAACUGUCGAUAUUCAAGUGUUCUAGUGCCCAUGAUUUGCAACCUUUUCUUGUUUUUUUCUCCUGAUAAGAUCAGGCAAAGGAGAAGGAUUUCCAAAUAGCCUGAUAGUGUAUCAGUGUUUCAAAAAGUUAAAGCCCCAAGACUUACCAGGGAACUUUAAUUCUCAUAAAAAGAAAAUAAACCUUAUAUUAACCUUUACAUGUAAACUCAAAAUGGUGCACUCCCUGAAAGUAUUCCUCUUGUUGGAUAUUUACGAGAUAACUUUGCAAAUAGAAAACUGCAGACUGUCUUUGCUGCAGAUAUUAAGGAGUUAAUAAAUUAGACAGCCAACAAGCAGGAAUCGGGAAAAGCCACAGAACUUAGAAUUGAACAGCUGACAGCAGAUUCUGCAGGUGCAAGAUGGGAAUCAGCUCUGCAUUUUCUAUGUAGCACAGUUUUCUCUGCCUGGCCUGUGGCCUGAUUUCCUGGCCUCUUUGGGAUAAGCUGAAUUAUAAGACAGAGAAUUCCAGAAGAUCUAGCUCUGUGAUCCUAUGAUAGUGAUUUACAACUAGAUUUAGGGAGAAAAAAACAAAACUCAACAAAUAUUCACUUAAAAGUUAAUGAGUAUUUGCUAUGGAGAAGGCAUUUUGUUGAGUGAUACAGAGGAUACAAAAAUGACCAAGAUCUGCAACCCCCCUCUUUCAAAAGCUUAUGGCAUAAGGCUAGUAACUUAGAAGAAAAAGCACAUUGUUAUCAGUCAUCAGUAUAUUUUGGUGAAUCCAUCUAUUAGCCAAUUUGUUUCAGACUUUGAAAAGCUGAAGGAUGGGGCAAGCCUAGGAUACUACCUAGGAAAGAUCAGCCUGGAUUAAGACACUUAAUGAAAGAAGAUGAGGGAAGUGGGCACAAGCCGGGGGAGGCGAUAGCACAAAAGAGGGUAGAAGAUGAGAGCACGCUGACUGCAAACUGUGUGUGUUUCAGAGGGUGGAUUUCCUAGCUCUGACUUCUAGCAAAUAAUUUUCAAAAUGUAAAGUGGACCUUAACAAAGUACUAUUCUUAUCAAUCCAAGAGUGCCAAGCAAUCAAGGAGAGAGAUUUACAGACAAUGUACUUUCAAAUUCACAAUGCAAACUCUAAAGUAAUAUGCAUUUUCUUAUAAGCUUAACUUUAGUAAAGAAUGAUUUUUGAAGUUCACUCAAAUAUCGAAUAUUUGCAGAUAUCCUUAUUUCAUUACUUUGCUCCAAAUAUUUAAAACCAGAUGAAAAAAAGUAAUGUCCUUAAGGAGUCAAAUUCAUUAUUAAAAUAAGAUAUUUUCCAAGUUGUUUGGAAAAUGGUUUACUUUCUUUUUUCCCCCUUUACUAGACCUCAAAAUACAUUGAGUUUUCCUCACUGGUAAAGAAAUACAACAUUGAGAAGUAUCAAGUGAAUCCACUUGAACAGGCUUCAAAACCAUACCACUAACGUAUUAUUUUAAAAUGUUUCUCUAAGACGCAUUUAUUACAAGGGAACACUGUUUAGGAAGCAUUAACACUCACAGUCCCUAAAUUUUAAAUUGGUCCCUAAUAUUCCAUUUGGUAAUCAAUAUCCUCCUUUGCUCCUCCCCCACCCUCUCAGAUGGCCUUAUUCUCUGUCAGUAUCUAUCACAUUUUCUUUUUUCUUUUUUU
rnacentral:lncRNA from 1 species